UUGGAGGGCAAGUCUGGUGCCAGCAGCCGCGGUAAUUCCAGCUCCAAUAGCGUAUAUUAAAGUUGUUGCAGUUAAAAAGCUCGUAGUUGAAUUUCGGGGUCAGUAGGUUGGUCAUGCCACUGGUAUGUACUGGUCUCACUGAUUCCUCCUUCCUGAUGAGCCGUAAUGCCAUUAAUUUGGUGUUGCGAGGAAUCUGGACUGUUACUUUGAAAAAAUUAGAGUGUUUAAAGCAAGCUAACGCUUGAAUACAUUAGCAUGGAAUAAUGAAAUAGGACGUUCGAUCCUAUUUUGUUGGUUUCUAGGAUUGACGUAAUGAUUAAUAGGGAUAGUUGGGGGCAUUAGUAUUCAAUUGUCAGAGGUGAAAUUCUUGGAUUUAUUGAAGACUAACUACUGCGAAAGCAUUUGCCAAGGAUGUUUUCAUUAAUCAAGAACGAAAGUUAGGGGAUCGAAGACGAUCAGAUACCGUCGUAGUCUUAACCAUAAACUAUGCCGACUAGGGAUCGGAUGAUGUUAAUUCUUUAAUGACUCAUUCGGCGCCUUACGGGAAACCAAAGUGUUUGGGUUC
rnacentral:rRNA from 1 species